AUUGAACGCUGGCGGCAUGCCUUACACAUGCAAGUCGAACGGCAGCACGGGUGCUUGCACCUGGUGGCGAGUGGCGAACGGGUGAGUAAUACAUCGGAACAUGUCCUGUAGUGGGGGAUAGCCCGGCGAAAGCCGGAUUAAUACCGCAUACGAUCUACGGAUGAAAGCGGGGGACCUUCGGGCCUCGCGCUAUAGGGUUGGCCGAUGGCUGAUUAGCUAGUUGGUGGGGUAAAGGCUUACCAAGGCGACGAUCAGUAGCUGGUCUGAGAGGACGACCAGCCACACUGGGACUGAGACACGGCCCAGACUCCUACGGGAGGCAGCAGUGGGGAAUUUUGGACAAUGGGCGAAAGCCUGAUCCAGCAAUGCCGCGUGUGUGAAGAAGGCCUUCGGGUUGUAAAGCACUUUUGUCCGGAAAGAAAUCCUUGGCUCUAAUACAGUCGGGGGAUGACGGUACCGGAAGAAUAAGCACCGGCUAACUACGUG
rnacentral:rRNA from 1 species